rnacentral:rRNA from 1 species
GUACACGCUGUGACUAGCAUAUCAAUAAGCGGAGGAAAAGAAACUAACUAGGAUUCCCUUAGUAACGGCGAGUGAAGCGGGAAGAGCUCAAAUUUGAAAUCUUCAAGGUUUACCUUGACGAAUUGUAGUUUAAAGAAGUGUUUUCUGCUGGAGUUUUGGUAAAAGUUCUUUGGAAUAGGACAUCAUAGAGGGUGAGAAUCCCGUAUUUGACCAUUAUUUUCAGCUUUGUGAUACACUUUCAAAGAGUCGGAUUGUUUGGGAAUGCAGUCCAAAAUGGGUGGUAAAUUUCAUCUAAAGCUAAAUAUUGGCGAGAGACCGAUAGCGAACAAGUACCGUGAGGGAAAGAUGAAAAGAACUUUGAAAAGAGAGUUAAACAGUACGUGAAAUUGUCAAAAGGGAAGCGUUUGACACCAGUGUUGUUUUCUCGAAAAUCAAUUAAAAAUGGCUCGAUUUUGUAUUGUUGAGACCUUAAAAGCUCACUGUACAUUUUUCGUGUCUUUUUUAAUGCACUUUUCGUUUAACAAGUCAACAUCAGUUUCUUUUGUUGUAAAAGGGUCAUUGGAAGGUGGCUUUCUUUUCGGAGAAAGUGUUUAUAGCCUUUGGCCUCUGCAAUCGAAGAGACUGAGGUCUGCAGCGUAGACUCUUCGGGGUUAGAUACAUUUGUGCUAAGUUAUAGCUUUUUAUAGACAACUUGUUGACUAUAAUUAGUCUUGUAGCUUACUCGCUUAUGCUAUUUUACCUACGCUUAGGAUGUUGAUCUACAGAGCGAGAGU